rnacentral:rRNA from 1 species
GAUGAACGCUGGCGGCGUGCCUAAUACAUGCAAGUCGAACGCACAGCGAAAGGUGCUUGCACCUUUCAAGUGAGUGGCGAACGGGUGAGUAACACGUGGACAACCUGCCUCAAGGCUGGGGAUAACAUUUGGAAACAGAUGCUAAUACUGAAUAAAACUUAGUGUCGCAUGACACAAAGUUAAAAGGCGCUUUGGCGUCACCUAGAGAUGGAUCCGCGGUGCAUUAGUUAGUUGGUGGGGUAAAGGCCUACCAAGACAAUGAUGCAUAGCCGAGUUGAGAGACUGAUCGGCCACAUUGGGACUGAGACACGGCCCAAACUCCUACGGGAGGCUGCAGUAGGGAAUCUUCCACAAUGGGCGAAAGCCUGAUGGAGCAACGCCGCGUGUGUGAUGAGGGCUUUCGGGUCGUAAAGCACUGUUGUAUGGGAAGAACAGCUAGAAUAGGGAAUGAUUUUAGUUUGACGGUACCAUACCAGAAAGGGACGGCUAAAUACGUGCCAGCAGCCGCGGUAAUACGUAUGUCCCGAGCGUUAUCCGGAUUUAUUGGGCGUAAAGCGAGCGCAGACGGUUGAUUAAGUCUGAUGUGAAAGCCCGGAGCUCAACUCCGGAAUGGCAUUGGAAACUGGUUAACUUGAGUGCAGUAGAGGUAAGUGGAACUCCAUGUGUAGCGGUGGAAUGCGUAGAUAUAUGGAAGAACACCAGUGGCGAAGGCGGCUUACUGGACUGUAACUGACGUUGAGGCUCGAAAGUGUGGGUAGCAAACAGGAUUAGAUACCCUGGUAGUCCACACCGUAAACGAUGAACACUAGGUGUUAGGAGGUUUCCGCCUCUUAGUGCCGAAGCUAACGCAUUAAGUGUUCCGCCUGGGGAGUACGACCGCAAGGUUGAAACUCAAAGGAAUUGACGGGGACCCGCACAAGCGGUGGAGCAUGUGGUUUAAUUCGAAGCAACGCGAAGAACCUUACCAGGUCUUGACAUCCUUUGAAGCUUUUAGAGAUAGAAGUGUUCUCUUCGGAGACAAAGUGACAGGUGGUGCAUGGUCGUCGUCAGCUCGUGUCGUGAGAUGUUGGGUUAAGUCCCGCAACGAGCGCAACCCUUAUUGUUAGUUGCCAGCAUUCAGAUGGGCACUCUAGCGAGACUGCCGGUGACAAACCGGAGGAAGGCGGGGACGACGUCAGAUCAUCAUGCCCCUUAUGACCUGGGCUACACACGUGCUACAAUGGCGUAUACAACGAGUUGCCAACCCGCGAGGGUGAGCUAAUCUCUUAAAGUACGUCUCAGUUCGGAUUGUAGUCUGCAACUCGACUACAUGAAGUCGGAAUCGCUAGUAAUCGCGGAUCAGCACGCCGCGGUGAAUACGUUCCCGGGUCUUGUACACACCGCCCGUCACACCAUGGGAGUUUGUAAUGCCCAAAGCCGGUGGCCUAACCUUUUAGGAAGGAGCCGUCUAAGGCAGGACAGAUGACUGGGGUG